UACGUAGGUGGCGAGCGUUAUCCGGAAUUAUUGGGCGUAAAGGGUGCGCAGGCGGCAAGAAAAGCUUAAGGUGAAAGCGUGGGGCUCAACCCCAUAAAGCCUUAGGAACUAGCUUGCUAGAGUGCAGGAGAGGGCGAUGGAAUUCCAUGUGUAGCGGUAAAAUGCGUAGAUAUAUGGAGGAACACCAGUGGCGAAGGCGGCUUACUGGACUGUAACUGACGUUGAGGCUCGAAAGCGUGGGGAGCAAACAGG
rnacentral:rRNA from 1 species